rnacentral:misc_RNA from 1 species
GAUGAAGAACUCAGCGAAAUGCGAUAAGUAGUGUGAAUUGCAGAAUUCAGUGAAUCAUCGAAUCUUUGAACGCACAUUGCGCCCCUUGGUAUUCCAUGGGGCAUGCCUGUUCGAGCGUCAUUUCAACCAUCAAGCCCCAGCGCUUGUGUUGGGGGCCUGCGGCUGCCGCAGCCCCCCAAAAGCAGUGGCGGGCUCGCUAUCACACCGAGUGCAGUAGUUCAUCUUCUCUCCGGUCUUGUGAGGCGGGUUCCGGCCGUGAAACACCCCACUACAUUCAAGGUUGACCUCGGAUCAGGUAGGAAUACCCGCUGAACUUAAGCAUAUCAAUAAGCGGAGGA